rnacentral:rRNA from 1 species
GAAAAGAAACCAACAGGGAUUGCCUUAGUAGCGGCGAGUGAAGCGGCAAUAGCUCAAAUUUGUAAUCUGGCGUCUUCGACGUCCGAGUUGUAAUUUGAAGAAGGUAUCUUUGGUUUUGGCUCUUGUCUAUGUUCCUUGGAACAGGACGUCACAGAGGGUGAGAAUCCCGUGCGAUGAGAUGCCCAAUUCCAUGUAAAGUUCCUUCGACGAGUCGAGUUGUUUGGGAAUGCAGCUCUAAGUGGGUGGUAAAUUCCAUCUAAAGCUAAAUAUUGGCGAGAGACCGAUAGCGAACAAGUACUGUGAAGGAAAGAUGAAAAGAACUUUGAAAAGAGAGUGAAAAAGUACGUGAAAUUGUUGAAAGGGAAGGGCUUGAGGUCAGACUUGGUUUUACCAGGCCAGCAUCAGUUUGGAUGGCAGGAUAAUAGCUUAGGAAAGUGGCACUGCUUCGGUGGUGUGUUAUAGCCUUUGUUGAUACUGCCUGUCUAGACUGAGGACUGCGUCUUUUGACUAGGAUGCUGGCAUAAUGACCUUAAGCCGCCCGUCU